rnacentral:rRNA from 1 species
GACGAACGCUGGCGGCGUGCCUAAUACAUGCAAGUCGAACGAGAGCGACCGGUGCUUGCACUGGUCAAUCUAGUGGCGAACGGGUGAGUAACACGUGGGUAACCUGCCCAUCAGAGGGGGAUAACAUUCGGAAACGGAUGCUAAAACCGCAUAGGUCCUUUAACCGCAUGGUUGAAGGAGGAAAAGAGGCGCAAGCUUCUGCUGAUGGAUGGACCCGCGGUGCAUUAGCUAGUUGGUGAGGUAACGGCUCACCAAGGCCGUGAUGCAUAGCCGACCUGAGAGGGUGAUCGGCCACAUUGGGACUGAGACACGGCCCAAACUCCUACGGGAGGCAGCAGUAGGGAAUCUUCCGCAAUGGACGCAAGUCUGACGGAGCAACGCCGCGUGAGUGAAGGAGGUUUUCGGAUCGUAAAACUCUGUUGUUAGAGAAGAACAAGUGCUAGAGUAACUGUUAGCGCCUUGACGGUAGCUAACCAGAAAGCCACGGCUAACUACGUG